rfam:Triticum aestivum genome assembly, contig: Triticum_aestivum_CS42_TGACv1_scaffold_087989_1DS
GGAUGCGAUCAUACCAGCACUAAAGCACCGGAUCCCAUCUGAACUCCGAAGUUAAGCGUGCUUGGGAGAGAGUAGUACUAGGAUGGCUGCCCUACUGGGAAGUCCUCGUGUUGCAUUCC